rnacentral:misc_RNA from 1 species
AACCUAGCACACCUGCGGUGUGUACCUGCGGAAGGAUCAUUACCUAGAGUUGUAGGCUUUGCCUGCUAUCUCUUACCCAUGUCUUUUGAGUACCUUACGUUUCCUCGGUGGGUUCGCCCACCGAUUGGACAAACUUAAACCCUUUGCAGUUGAAAUCAGCGUCUGAAAAGACUUAAUAGUUACAACUUUUAACAACGGAUCU